rnacentral:misc_RNA from 1 species
GAUGAAGAACGUAGCGAAAUGCGAUAAGUAAUGUGAAUUGCAGAAUUCAGUGAAUCAUCGAAUCUUUGAACGCACAUUGCGCCCGCCAGAAUUCUGGCGGGCAUGCCUGUUCGAGCGUCAUUACAACCCUCAGGCCCCCGGGCCUGGCGUUGGGGAUCGGCGGAGCCCCCCGUGGGCACACGCCGUCCCCCAAAUACAGUGGCGGUCCCGCCGCAGCUUCCAUCGCGUAGUAGCUAACACCUCGCGACUGGAGAGCGGCGCGGCCACGCCGUAAAACACCCAACUCUUCUGAAGUUGACCUCGAAUCAGGUAGGAAUACCCGCUGAACUUAAGCAUAUCAAUAAGCGGAGGA